UUGUUUAUAUCUCUGAAGAAAGAACUAAAAUACGCUCUCGUAUAAAUAAACCUAUACUCUCUCUCUGUGCCGAACCAGACCAUUUGAGCUUCGAGAUUUCAUUCUUCUGUUAGGGUUAUUGUUUUUCUAUGUGAGAGAACGUCGAGUACAUGCUGUUCUAGUAGAAAAAUCUCAGAGAUAUACAUAUAUUCUUGUGUAUAUUAUAUACAUAUAUAGUUCUACGCUCAGUUAGUGGUUUCUUUCAACAAUGGCUACAGCACCUGUCAAGUCUCCGUUGCACAACUUCCCUCUCACAUUCUUGAAAUGGGGCGGCGCGAAGAAUCACACUAGCGGUGGUCAUCAUCGUUACCGUCGACCAGUCUCGGCUGAGAACUCUCCCGUCGCCGAUCAUGGUGAGGUUGACCCGGAUAGGAACGAUUCGGAGCCUGAAGCUGGUCGGACUAGUAAGGUCGGAUCGCGUACUGUUCGCAACAGAUUUGGGUUUGCGUCUUGCUCUUCAGCGGAGAAGGUGCAGAAACAGCAAGGGAGCAACGAGAGUGAUGAGGUUGUCAGAGAUGGGAAGCAGCAGCAUCGUGAUGGAGAAGAAGUUGAGGCUGAGGAGACGGUUCAGAAGCCGUGGAAAUUGAGGCCGAGGAAGGUUUUGUUCUCGAAACCUGCUUCGAUUGGUGUUAAGAAUGGAGAAUUUCAGGAACCAGGUGGGACUGUUACUGGCAGCGGUGUAGGAAGUGGUCAGAAUCAGAGUGAGAAUCAGAACCAGCAACAACCGAAAUCGCUGAGGCUAAGGGGAUUCUCGGAGCAGCAGAGUACGGAGAAGAAAGAGAAGAGGAAGUUUUGGAUCGCGCUGUCUAGGGAGGAGAUUGAAGAAGAUAUCUUUUUGAUGACUGGGUCAAGGCCUGCUCGGAGGCCGAGGAAGCGUCCCAAGAAUGUUCAGAAACAGCUUGACGCUGUUUUCCCUGGAUUGUGGUUGGUGGGUGUUACUGCUGAUGCUUACCGGAUCGCUGAGGCUCCUCCUAAGAGGUAGAUGAGUCCUACGCCAAUUGUGACUUGAAGCUUGAACAGGGCGAAAGGUUGCAUAUCUGACUUUGAGACCUCAAUUGAGGCUUCCCUACAUCGCUGGGGGGCACAGAGUAGCUUAAUUUUCAAAUCCUUAUUAUGAUAGAGGAUUAAUUCUCUGCUUGCUUCCUUGUUCUGGAAGAGCUCUUCUUCAAUCGGUUGUGAUUGUCAAGAUGAACCCGUUAUGAGGUUGAAAGCUCAUAAGCUGGAAGAAUGUCUUGAUUUUCUUCAUUAUUUCAAAAUAAUAUUUUCUAAUAUUGUUAUUUUUUGCUGACCAAAUUAGCCAACUGUCAGUACUCAGUAAGUAGUAUUUGAACUUAAACAAUAUAGUUAUUUCACAAUGGACCGAGUUCGAAAAUGAGAUUUUGCAUACGCUUGUGUCAGCACGUUGGGUUAAGUAUUUUUGCUAUGUAUAGGAAGUCUAUGCAUUUGGUCUGAAAGUAAUGGUUAUUAGACACUAGUUUUUGAUUACUUUGAUCACGGACAAGGCUGGUAGUGUUUCAGCUUUCAAGCUCUUUUAUCAUUUGGGUAAAAUGAUUUGAGAAUCUUCUACUGUUGCUUGAUGCUAAGUCCAAGAACCACUUCUGGUGUGCACGAGCAGUAACACUCUUCCGAUUAGCUAGCCUCGUAUCGGUGUAGCCUCUCUCAAAAGCAAUGGUUUGCACUUGUAGACAGGAAAAUGAGACAAUUUGGUUUUUGUUCAACAGCUGUGUAGAGAAGUUUGGCUGUGGCUGAAGUCAAAAAAUGUUAUUUUUGCCACCAAGAGAGUGAAGGAGCAGAUUCUGAAUGGCUCAAUCAAUUUUGUGAGUCUUGCCUAAGAAAAACAAGUUCAAUUGCCCAUUACUCAUCCGGUUGGCAAGCCAGCUUAGCUGCAGUGUGAUAAUUCUACUACAAAUUUUGAUGAAAGUAAAGAACAACAGUCAAUCAUUUUCACUGAGUUCAAUGUUUUCCCUCCUGUUAUUGUUGAUGCUCAGGAGCCAGCAAAGGCAAAAACUUGUGCUGGAAUAGGAAGAUAGAAGAUAUGUUUUAUGCAGACAUGGAGAAAAUCGAAAGAACCCAUGAAGCUCCUGCAAUAUUGGGGUAAAUUAAAGUAGUUUUUCUUUCUUUCCUCUUUUCUCCAUUGCUUCGUUUAUUUCCUUUAAUAUUAAUAAAUGUUCACUUUGAGCGUUAUGCACAAUUAAAGUAUGGAAGAAAAAUAAAUUGACACUAUUCA